rnacentral:rRNA from 1 species
UGGGGAAUAUUGGACAAUGGGCGAAAGCCUGAUCCAGCCAUGCCGCGUGUGUGAAGAAGGUCUUCGGAUUGUAAAGCACUUUAAGUUGGGAGGAAGGGCAGUAAGCGAAUACCUUGCUGUUUUGACGUUACCGACAGAAUAAGCACCGGCUAACUCUGUGCCAGCAGCCGCGGUAAUACAGAGGGUGCAAGCGUUAAUCGGAAUUACUGGGCGUAAAGCGCGCGUAGGUGGUUCGUUAAGUUGAAUGUGAAAGCCCCGGGCUCAACCUGGGAGCUGCAUCCAAAGCUGGCGAGCUAGAGUAGGGCAGAGGGUGGUGGAAUUUCCUGUGUAGCGGUGAAAUGCGUAGAUAUAGGAAAGAACACCAGUGGCGAAGGCGACCACCUGGGCUCAUACUGACACUGAGGUGCGAAAGCGUGGGGAGCAAACAGG